GAAUUGAACAGAUACUGGUUAUUUCGAUUUUUUUAUAUAGAUUUUCAUCAAUCAUGCAAAGUGAAAUAGUCAUAUACAUAGAUAAUAACUUCUCAAAUUCAUCAAUCAUGCAAAGUAAACCCACUACGUCCGGGUUUAUGUAUUACUAUUUACAAAUUGUUUUAUAUAAUGUCUGUUCAUAUAAAAUAAAGUUGAAUUCAUCGGUUUUGAAACAUAAAUAUGAUUUGUAAUUGUUUUUGAAAAGUCCAACUAUAUUAGUUCAUCUGAAAAAUGAAUGUGUUUGAGUUAUUUUUUAUUGUUGUUCUAGAUUCUCAGUUUUUUUUUUUAAUUUAUAUAUUCUUAUCUUUUUGUUUUAUUUUAAAUUGUGAGACGGUAAAAUUUUAGAAAAUUUAUUUCUUACACUAAAAAUAUAACAUGUCUUUAUUAACCAUGUUUCUGCAUAUUCAAUCUAAUCAUAUUCAACUUGAUGUUCUUAGAAAGUUUAGUUAAGUUCUUAUCAUAAUCUUAUAUCUUAAGUAUUAGUUAUAAGGAUAGCUCCUCAAACAUCUUUCAAAUUACUUGUUUUCUUAACAUAAAUCUCGAAAAGCUUAGAUAUAUUUAAUCUGCAUAUUCAUUUAGUUUCUUUCAUAAUAAUCGUCUAAUUUUUAGGCAAAAAAUAUGUGUAACAUGUUUGGAUUUUAUGAUCACUUUAGCUACUUAAGUGGAUCUCAAAAUUAAAGAGGAUACAUUGAAUUAAAAAAAUGUAGAAUGAGUGAUGGUUCAAGUUCUGAUUAAUUAUAUCCUCCUGUUUUAGUUGUUAUGUUGAAUUAAUUACUAAUUAUGUAUUCUUAUCUUAUGAAGUUUAGGUGACAAGCUUUCAUGUGCUAAUGUGUCAAGGGAAAGAAUUAGCCUAUAUGAAAGAUUUAAAAGAAAAUCAAAGAACAGUUUUGCCAUGAUCGAACCAAGAUAAGCCGGUUUGUGUA
rnacentral:sRNA from 1 species